UACGGGGGGGGCAAGCGUUGUUCGGAAUUACUGGGCGUAAAGGGCUCGUAGGCGGCCAACUAAGUCGGACGUGAAAUCCCCAGGCUCAACCUGGGAACUGCGUCCGAUAUUGGAUGGCUUGAAUUCGGGAGAGGGAUGCAGAAUUCCAGGUGUAGCGGUGAAAUGCGUAGAUAUCUGGAGGAAUACCGGUGGCGAAGGCGGCAUCCUGGACCGACAUUGACGCUGAGGAGCGAAAGCUAGGGGAGCAAACGGG
rnacentral:rRNA from 1 species